rnacentral:rRNA from 1 species
GACGAACGCUGGCGGCGUGCCUAAUACAUGCAAGUUGAGCGAUGAAGAUUGGUGCUUGCACCAAUUUGAAGAGCAGCGAACGGGUGAGUAACGCGUGGGGAAUCUGCCUUUGAGCGGGGGGCAACAUUUGGAAACGAAUGCUAAUACCGCAUAACAACUUUAAACAUAAGUUUUAAGUUUGAAAGAUGCAAUUGCAUCACUCAAAGAUGAUCCCGCGUUGUAUUAGCUAGUUGGUGAGGUAAAGGCUCACCAAGGCGAUGAUACAUAGCCGACCUGAGAGGGUGAUCGGCCACAUUGGGACUGAGACACGGCCCAAACUCCUACGGGAGGCAGCAGUAGGGAAUCUUCGGCCAGGGAUGAAAGUCUGACCGCGCAACGCCGCGUGAGUGAAGAAGGUUGUCGGAUCGUAAAACUCUGUUGGUAGAGAAGAACGUUUGUGAGAGUGGAAAGCUCAUCAAGUGACGGUAACUACCCAGAAAGGGACGGCUAACUACGUG